AUUGAACGCUGGCGGCAGGCCUAACACAUGCAAGUCGAACGGUAACAGGAAGAAGCUUGCUUCUUUGCUGACGAGUGGCGGACGGGUGAGUAAUGUCUGGGAAACUGCCUGAUGGAGGGGGAUAACUACUGGAAACGGUAGCUAAUACCGCAUAACGUCGCAAGACCAAAGAGGGGGACCUUCGGGCCUCUUGCCAUCGGAUGUGCCCAGAUGGGAUUAGCUAGUAGGUGGGGUAACGGCUCACCUAGGCGACGAUCCCUAGCUAGUCUGAGAGGAUGACCAGCCACACUGGAACUGAGACACGGUCCAGACUCCUACGGGAGGCAGCAGUGGGGAAUAUUGCACAAUGGGCGCAAGCCUGAUGCAGCCAUGCCGCGUGUAUGAAGAAGGCCUUCGGGUUGUAAAGUACUUUCAGCGGGGAGGAAGGGAGUAAAGUUAAUACCUUGGCUCAUUGACGUUACCCGCAGAAGAAGCACCGGCUAACUCCGUG
rnacentral:rRNA from 1 species